rnacentral:tRNA from 2 species
AGGGCUGUAGUUAAAUAUAACAUUUGGGUUGCAUCCAAAAAGUACUGUAAAGUCUGCCUUA